GAUGAACGCUGGCGGCGUGCUUAACACAUGCAAGUCGAACGGAGAAACGGUAGCUUGCUAUCUUUUUUAGUGGCGGACGGGUGAGUAACGCGUGGGUAACCUGCCCUUUGCAGGGGGAUAACAGUGAGAAAUCGCUGCUAAUACCGCAUACCAACUUCUUUCGCAUGAAAGAAGUUUGAAAGAUUUAUCGGCAAAGGAUGGACCCGCGUUGGAUUAGCUAGUUGGUGAGAUAACAGCCCACCAAGGCAACGAUCCAUAGCCGGCCUGAGAGGGUGAACGGCCACACUGGGACUGAGACACGGCCCAGACUCCUACGGGAGGCAGCAGUGGGGAAUAUUGCACAAUGGGCGAAAGCCUGAUGCAGCGACGCCGCGUGAAGGAUGAAGGUCUUCGGAUUGUAAACUUCUAUCAGCAGGGAAGAAAGGGCUUAUAGCCUAUGACGGUACCUGACUAAGAAGCCCCGGCUAACCUACGUGCCAGCAGCCGCGGUAAAAGUC
rnacentral:rRNA from 1 species